rnacentral:lncRNA from 1 species
AGAGGAAAACCAGCUUGAACCUGAACUGAUUUGUCUACUCCCCCAUCCUCCAAUCCCCUGAGAAGUUUCCCCUCAUCUUCUCUUUAUUCCUCUCUGAAAAAUCACAAACCUCAAAUUUAUCUGGAGUUUCAGCUGAUCCUGGAGACUGCAAUUUCAGGGAAAGGAACUGAACAACUAAGAUGAGUUGCUAGAAGCAAUUGAUCAACCUGACAAAUUUUAUGAAUUCUUAGCAGAGUAUAAGCUUUUAUUUGAAAACCUCUGUGAAUAAGACUUCUUUCCAUGGAGUGCAGAUGAGAUUUGCAUGUAUC